UGGGGUAUGGCGCAGUGGUAGCGCAACGGAUUUUGACUCCGCGGUCAUCGGUUCGAUUCCGAUUACCCUAG
rnacentral:tRNA from 1 species